UAUAAAGAUGUCCUUAACUC
rnacentral:piRNA from 1 species